GAACUUCCUCAUUUCCGUUCCGCAGGAACCAUUUCGAAGCUCCUCCCACUGAGCCGUCAAAAGAGGGCGGGGACGAGCACGUCGGAAGUUGUCUCCGGCUCGCGUUUCCGUGAACUGGUUUAUAACCCACAUGGUUCUCGUCCCCGAGGACCGAUGGAACAGGUUUUGGCAUCGGAUCUCCGCUGUGACUCUUAGAUGCCUGCUGGCCGCUGGCUCUGCCACGCUGGCGAAAAAGCAGAGGCUGCGGCCUGGUGGUGUGAAGAAUCGUCGCAGAAUUACCUUCUGAAAUCUGCGAAAGUGAAUGCCUUUUUAAAAUUUACGUAAGUUCCCUAAAUGUCAUGUGCUUUUCUUAUUAAACGCCUAAAAAAAGAAUGGAGCCUUUACAUUCGUAAGCCUACUCAAAGGUGUGAUUUAACACUUUCUGUUAUCUGCUAUAAAGAGUGUAAUUUAUUCUGCAUUAUGGAAGGGAAAAGUUCUCUUGUAGAUCUCUUAUCUACAGCUGGUUAAAUUGCUGUAUUUCUUGUUGUCAUGCUGACAGGUUGUCAUGCAGACUUUCAUCUUAUUUGCUUCAGUAAAACAAAUUGCAUGUAUAUCUCAAGACUAGUUUUUGUGUUUAGAGAAGAUGUAACUUUUUAGUAGUAAUGGAAGAAAUGGGGCUUGAAAAAUGACUGUGGGUGGAAUGAUCAUGUGUUUCAAUAACUUGCUGGUUUUAUUCUUUU